rnacentral:rRNA from 1 species
AACGCGAAGAACCUUACCCAGGUUUGACAUACAGGAGACAGUAGCAGAGAUGUUAUGUUCCGCAAGGACUGCUGUACAGGUGCUGCAUGGCUGUCGUCAGCUCGUGCCGUGAGGUGUUGGGUUAAGUCCCGCAACGAGCGCAACCCUUAUCAUUAGUUGCCAACACGAAAGGUGGGGACUCUAGUGAGACUGCCUAGGUUAACUAGGAGGAAGGUGAGGAUGACGUCAAGUCCGCAUGGCCUUUAUAUCUGGGGCUACACACGUGCUACAAUGGCCGGUACAGAAGGCAGCGAAGUCGUAAGAUGGAGCAAAUCCCUAAAACCGGUCCCAGUUCAGAUUGUGGUCUGCAACUCGACCACAUGAAGUUGGAAUUGCUAGUAAUGGCGUGUCAGCAACAACGCCGUGAAUACGUUCCCGGGCCUUGUACACACCGCGCAUA